GAAUUAUGUUUUCUAGAUGGGUUGUAGCUGGCUCUUCGGAGUAUGUGCACGCCUGUCUGGACUUCAUUUUCAUCCACCUGUGCACCUUUUGUAGUCUUUUUCAGGUAUUGGAGGAAGUGGUCAGCCUAUCAGCUCUUUGCUGGAUGUAAGGACUUGCAGUGUGAAAACAGUGCUGUCCUUUACCUUGGCCAUGGAAUCUUUUUCCUGUUAGAGUCUAUGUUAUUCAUUAUACUCUUAGAAUGUCAUUGAAUGUCUUUACAUGGGCUAUGCCUAUGAAAAUUAUUAUACAACUUUCAGCAACGGAUCUCUUGGCUCU
rnacentral:misc_RNA from 1 species